GUCAGUAAUUUCUCCCCUAGCAAGAAUGAGGGAGAUGAAGAGCUUGGGUAUCUGGGGGCUGGUGUGUCUCAUGCGUGUGUGUUUUGGGGGCCGACUGAAGGAAGAGAAGGCUGGAGAGAGGGAACAUGGGUCUGAGGGCACAUCGCUAAGGGGUCAAGAGGCCUAAAGGGGGAGUCUAAGGCUCUCCAUCGAACUUGGACUUGGUCUACAUUAGACUUUAACCCCCAUGAGGCUUGGACUUUCAGGCUUCCGCCCUCACACCGCGGGCAGGUGAGGCGUCUGCUACAGGCCUGGUCUCGCAGCCCCCCGCCGCCACCUUCUCCUGGAGUCUGUGUGACAGAAUGGGACCUGUGGGAAAGCAGCACGUCAGCGCCCAGCCCCGCUUGCGCGCCAGCAGCUAAUUAAAGCCAGGAAGGUGAUGGCGAUUGUCAACUCAUUCCCGUUACAAACAGCCGACCUUCCUACCGAGUUCAAGUACCUUCUGCCUGGCCUGGAAGAACCAUAUCUCUCUGUCUCCCUCUUCCAUUGGCCCUCACCUGCCCUCCCCUGAACACGCAUUUUGCCUGACAGGAGGCAGAGGCGGUUGAGAUGGAGUCUUGCUAUACGGCCCAGCUGGUAACGCCUGGUAAUGCCUAGAUUCUUGAGUCCCUCCCUGGCUCAUCCCUGGGAGCAGCACCGAACCCCAUGUCUGACACCUGUCUGGAAAUGGAGCCUGAACAUUGACCCUAGAUUCCUUGGUGGUGCCUGGAGAAGACCAGGAGAGGAAGCAGAAGACCCUCCUCAAAGAAGCCGCCUUCACCUCCAGACCUCCCAGCGGGACUUAGACAAUGGGGUUAGGCAGUCACAUGUCUGCAAGUGGAAACUUUCUGGGACUGUGCUUGGAUCCCGGCUCUGCCUUUUACUAGCCAUGUGACCUUGGGAAAAUCACUUGACCUCUCCAUCUCUAGGAGAAUGGAAAGAGCAAACAGAAGAGCAGCAACCCUGAGUUACAUUUCUCAAGACGCCGGGGCUCCUGGUGGCACAGCAGCAGCUUGCUAGAGCUUGGUAAAGAGACUUGGGCCUGGUACCUGAAGGGCAGUUCCUUGGCCAUGACACUGUAGGGAAAGACCUCUAUGGGUGUUGAAAAGACAAGGCGAGGACAAGAAGAGUUGAAAAGGAGCUGCUCUGAAGCCACCUGGCUGUGGAUGGAGGCAGCCACAUGGAGCUUAGGUGGCCUGCUAUUGUAAUUUUUUCUGCAACUGGAGAAUUUGAAAUGGGUUUGGGGGGUAGCAAAGGGCAGAAUCUGGCUUCAAGGUGACAGAGUUUGCAUAGAAAUGGCCUUCUUGAGCAAAGGUA